rnacentral:rRNA from 1 species
AUUGAACGCUGGCGGAAUGCUUUACACAUGCAAGUCGAACGGCAGCACGGGAGCUUGCUCCUGGUGGCGAGUGGCGAACGGGUGAGUAAUGCGUCGGAACGUGCCGAGUAAUGGGGGAUAACGCAGCGAAAGUUGUGCUAAUACCGCAUACGCCCUGAGGGGGAAAGUGGGGGAUCGCAAGACCUCACGUUAUUCGAGCGGCCGACGUCUGAUUAGCUAGUUGGUGGGGUAAAGGCCUACCAAGGCGACGAUCAGUAGCGGGUCUGAGAGGAUGAUCCGCCACACUGGGACUGAGACACGGCCCAGACUCCUACGGGAGGCAGCAGUGGGGGAAUUUUUGGACAAUGGGGGCAACCCUGAUCCAGCCAUUCCGCGUGAGUGAAGAAGGCCUGGUUGUAAGACGUCUUCUAGCUGAGUGAACGGUAGCGGCUCUAACAUAGACGCGC